rnacentral:ncRNA from 1 species
GCCCGUUCCGAGGGGGGCUCCGACGAGGAGCUGAGAUACCGCACGCUCGCUGCUUCGCUUGUCGAAGAUCAUGCGGGACCGCGGUGACCCUUUGAACCUGAUCCGGGUCAUGCCGGCGAAGGGACAGGGAUGUAUCAGACGA